AACGAACGCUGGCGGCAGGCCUAACACAUGCAAGUCGAGCGAGGACUUCGGUCCUAGCGGCGGACGGGUGAGUAACGCGUGGGAACGUGCCCUUUGCUUCGGAAUAGCCCUGGGAAACUGGGAGUAAUACCGGAUGAGCCCUUUGGGGGAAAGAUUUAUCGGCGAAGGAUCGGCCCGCGUUGGAUUAGGUAGUUGGUGGGGUAAUGGCCUACCAAGCCGACGAUCCAUAGCUGGUUUGAGAGGAUGACCAGCCACACUGGGACUGAGACACGGCCCAGACUCCUACGGGAGGCAGCAGUGGGGAAUCUUAGACAAUGGGGGAAACCCUGAUCUAGCCAUGCCGCGUGAGCGAUGAAGGCCUUAGGGUUGUAAAGCUCUUUCAGCUGGGAAGAUAAUGACGGUACCAGCAGAAGAAGCCCCGGCUAACUCCGUG
rnacentral:rRNA from 1 species